rnacentral:rRNA from 1 species
UACGUAGGGUGCGAGCGUUAAUCGGAAUUACUGGGCGUAAAGUGUGCGCAGGCGGCUUCGCAAGUCGAGUGUGAAAUCCCCGAGCUUAACUUGGGAAUUGCGCUCGAAACUACGGAGCUGGAGUGUGGCAGAGGAAGGUGGAAUUCCACGUGUAGCGGUGAAAUGCGUAGAGAUCGGGAGGAACACCUGUGGCGAAGGCGGCCCCCUGGGCCGGCCCUGACACUGAGACGCGAAGGCGUGGGGAGCGAACGGG